rnacentral:sRNA from 1 species
UUUUUGUUUUCUGUUUUUGCUUUAUAGUAAACUCAUUAUGAUUUGUCUACUCAAGUACAGUUUUCAGAGAACUUUACUAUUGUUCUGUUUCAUUACGAUGGGGUAACAAGUGCAUGGAAUGAUGAGUUUGAGUGGUCGAGGAAUGCAAUACACAUAAGUGUCAAAAAGCAGACAAAAUGGUAUCAAUAUCUUUGCUUUAACCACUUUUUUUUAUCUGGUUUCUUGACUCUCUCAUAUUGUGAAUAUAAGGUGGUAUGCAAAGAGAUUCUUGCACUCGGACAUUGUAGCACUAUACGAUUAUAUAUUCAUAUGGGAUGAAGAUCUUGGAGUUGAUCACUUUAAUGCAGAAGAGUGAGUUUCUUCUCUGACUCUUCUCACUUCCAUUUAAAUUUUUUUUACUAUGUUUGUUGUUAUAGAUACAUACACAUAGUGAAGAAGCACGGCCUUGAGAUUUCGCAGCCUGGUUUGGACCCAUAGACUGGGUUUUACUGGCAGAUCACAAAAAGAAGAGAACAUAGUGAAAUCCACAAGUAUAUACAACGUCCUUUAUAGAUUAUUUUUGUUACAUUACAAAAUGGUUCUGAAUAUGGCUUGAACCUUAGCAGGGAGACAGAUGAGAAACUCGAGUGGUGCUCUAAUCCUCCCCGACCUCCAUGUAUGCAACUAUCUAUAACCUCUAUAUUUUUGAAAUAAUUGGCGCUUCCGUAACCAACCUCGGAAAAACGACCGGAACCCAUUUGGUCUUUGUGUGUCGUCCAAAGCUGUAAGUGUCCACGAUUUCACAAUCCAAUCAACUUUCGUUCCAUAAUCAGCUAAACUAGUAAAAAUUUCCUUUUGCCAGUAUCCUAUAAAUGAAUUGUCGGGCCCUAAACUUAACCACCAAUUUCCACUUUGAGAUCAUAGCAAUUUAAAAAUAAAAUUACUAGCAUUUUUGAUGUUUCUUUGUUCUUAUAUUCCUACUAUUACUACUUUUGUAUUUUUUCGGAUAAAGUCACUUCUAUAGUU